AACAGUGCCCAUGCCUGAUUUACAUACCCACAACCAGUGAUUAAUGUGUAAAUAAAGCACAAAUCUGAGCUUGAAGGAAACUUUUUAAGUUUACCUAGAAAACUUCUUCCCUCGUUUUGACCCAACUUAUCCACCAAUGCUAAUAACAACAAACACAACAAUUUGCCAAACUCUUUCAAUUAAAAAAUUAUUUGGAUCAGUUUUUUCUGUUGCCCUAAUUUGAUGAUCCUAAUAAUGAUAAGACAUAUCGGUGUAAUUGUUUAGAGAUAUUUCAAAAUACUCAAAAAAUCCAUGUGUGUAUACUUUGGAAACUUCCCGCAUACCCUACAUCCUCAUACUGGAGCAUUUAAAAAUCUGUUGCUGAGCUAGCUUUGGAUCUUUUCUAAAAAUUCAUCAAGGCCGUGCAUGAACACUAACUGCGAUGGAUGGUUGGUAAAUGUCACAAUAUUGGCGUCAGUACUUUUUGCGUAAUGCGAAUAUGUAUUUUCUAAGAGUGCACAUCUUUGUUAAUACGAAGGAAGACUGCAUAUAAACCUGAUUUGUUGGUUAAA